GUCACGAAACGGACGCUAGUGCUCCAGAGGCGCCGAAACAGCCAUGGCUGAAGAAAGCAGCAACGGAAACACGCCUCCUGCUUUUACCUUUGGCGAGGAAGCAACGCCGAGCACAAGCCAGGAAUUCUUCGAGGGCACUUUGUGUACGCCCGACUAUUGCGCUACGAUUUGUGACGACUCCUUCGAAGACCAGUGGAUCCUGUUCGACAGCCUCAAUGAUUCCAAGGACGUUACGGGCCAUACACAUGUCGCUGAAAGCGGAAUCACCAGUUCCCCACCUAUUGCGUCCAGCAGCAGCAUCAAUCACGCACAGCCCAGUACAAGCCGCGCUGGCAUGGAGGAAGCAUCGGCCAUUCCGGAAAACAUUGCUAGGAAUGCAACUGGAACCGGAGAAAGGGAACCGCGAGUGUCCAGCGGUGUCAGUGGAAAGGUUUCCAGCAGACGGGGCACCUCACAUGGGAACCCCCUCAAGCACACGGGCGAUAGAACCCCCACUUUGAGAGCACGUGAUCGAUCAUCAGUGAAGAUGUCGGGCCACAAAUGCGAAAAAUGUGGUAAAUUAUUAAGCAGAGCUGAUAGUUUACCAGCACAUUACCGCACGCAUACAAGCGAGAGACCCUACAAAUGCGAAAUAUGCAAGAAAUCAUUUGCGCAUAGGGGGAGUUUCCAUAAACAUCAACAGAUUCACACAGGAGUGAAACCCCAUAUCUGCCAAAUAUGUACUAAACCAUUCAAAAACAAAGUGGACCUUAAUAGUCAUCUCAAAUCACAUAGUUCCGACAGACCUUUCGUUUGCGACAUAUGUAAUCGCUCCUUUAAGUGGAAAAGAGAUCUCCGAAGACACCGCAAAAGAACUCACUAGGCUAAAAUCUCGUACGAGUGCAAGCACUGUGGAUUUCGGUCCAAAAAGAAAAGAAAUCUAGAUGCACAUCUGUGUAAGAAUAUUAGUUGCCAAUUGUAUGUAUAUUCGUUUAGAGACACAGCUAAACUGGUUGCACAUCACGUGGCCCAUAUGGGUGGGCAGUCGUAACAGUGUGACUAGUGCGCAAGUGAAGUAAAUCGCCCACGUGUUUUGCAUAGGAACGUGACCACGAAGCCGUGCAGGAAAAUAACACUGACAUUCUCCCACAGAGGCGACUAACUAUCCGAAUGCACCGGGUCCACCGGCGGGCUUCUUUUCACGUUUAAAGCUGCUGAGUGAAACGCAAAACUUCGAGGAUUGCACUUGCUUUUUGAAAUUACGUGACAAAAACGUCGUCUCCCACAGAAUUUGGGAUGUUGCAAUGUCGAAGUAUACUGCAGGCUCUGACUAGAGCUAACUGUACACAAAACUAAGUUGUUUCGCCGAAGUAGCUUUCACAAACUCAUUUUUAGACAAACCCUAAUUGGCUGCAACUUCAUGUUUGUGUAACUAGAAGGCUUAAUGUUCGCACAAGAUCCUUGACUCGUUUAGUUUUGUGCAAGCGCUUUGACAGCGUACUGUUAAACAACCUUUAGCUAACAAUGCUUUUAAUGAUUCUGAAGUGCGAAUAGAAGGGGGGACCUCACAUGAGGAACCCUUCAAAAAACAGAGGCACUGUGUUCCUUUCAACUAAUAAUUAUCUAACCUCUGGUAAUAUAUGAGGUCCUCAGGCAUUGCUGGCUUUCAGACACAACUGUUACAAUUAUAGACACAGGUAUGGGAAAAUUUAUUUCCCAUACAUAUUGUUCAAUACACGCAAUGUUUUGGUUCUCUCUGUGGAUCUUGUACUCAUACCGAAGAUUUUUGUUCUUUAUCAUGCUGAUGACAAGAGUGAGACUGUAUUAGACACAAACCGUUUCGAGCUUAAAUAUGCAUGUUCUUCCACUGCCAGUGUUUUAAAUGUUUUUAUAUAUAGCUAGAACCUCUGUUAGUUUUAACGUGCAGUUGCUUAUUCCCUCGUAAGUCGUCUCUUUUGACUUGCGCUCCACUCUAGUUACAGCUGUGGAAUUUUCACACCUGAUCUGACAAACGUAUCUCUGCGAGCUACUACAUGACGAUUGAGAUACAGGUUUCAGUUAAUAUUAUUGACCCGCGUACUUCGAUAUCUUUUUCCAGUGAACGCGUCUCGUCCAAUAGCAAAUGUUAAGUUACAGCUCAGGGCAUGAGGCACCAGCAUGUAUCAGGACAUUCUGCAAUUGUCGAGCCUUUUGUAAUCAAAUUGCGCACAAUGCAAAUACAGUUGUGUGUUCUGGAAGACACGCGAGCACCAAUUAUAACGCUGGAAGCAUCUACAAAAAAGUGAGAAAAGCCGAUACUCGUUAAUGGCAAAUCAUUUGUUCAACAAUCGACUCAUGUACCCGGCACUAUCUUUCUGCCCGAAUGUAACUUGUUUUGUUCGUUCCGGUUCGCCCAAUAAAGUAUUUCAUGAAUCACGGUU